rnacentral:tRNA from 1 species
CGCGCCCAUCGUCUAGCGGUUAGGACAUCGCCCUUUCACGGCGGUAACCGGGGUUCGAUUCCCCGUGGGCGUGCCAG